CAGCUGUUGGUGAGGUGAUUCAUCUCUUCUCUUUUUCAGUCUUCUUUGCAAAGCACGCAGUGUAACUUAGUUAAACUCCCUGCCUUUGUAAAUUUAGUCAUAUAAACUGGAGCCACUGUAUCUGCAUAUACUAACCAUGCAAUCUGUCAAAAACCAAAUCAGAAGUUGUUUCUUUCUAUGUAUUCUGCGAAAUUCCAUCCGCUCACUGUUCUUUUGCAAGGAUUAUCUAUGCUUGUUUAGGAUGGUAUAUUUUGAUGUACAUCUCUGCCCAUAAUUUCAGAUAUCUAGAUGCUUUUUGUUUGGUUUAGAUUGCUUUCUUUCCCAGAGUCAUCAAUAUCUGUGUGAAACUAUCAUUCCCUUCUGAACCGUUUCUUUUUUGUAGGCAGCCAAGCACGUGAUUUCCUGCAGUAGUGGCUUCCCAACCAAUGAGCUCCGAACUGUUUAAGGCCAGGAAUUAGCAGGGACUUUCUCCUUUUUCUGCUCUCACCUAGAAUUUGCAAGGUCCUCUAAGUCUAAGGUCGUGAAGAAGUGCUAAUCCCAUCUGCUCUCUGUGAGGUUGCAAAUGUUAUUUCUCCUCCAAUCCUCUGUCUACUCAUGUUCAUUUAUAGUAUUCCUUUUAAUGCGAACAUAAUUUGAUUUUCUGUUAUAUCUAGCCUUACUAAUCAAGUGGUUCUACAUUUAUAUCCCCACUUGAUAUAGUUGUUAGCUUUUAUAUCUGUAGUAAAAUAGAUUUUACCAUGUGUCUAGAAAUAGAGAUAAAUUCCUGCUAAUGUUUUGAACUGGCACUUCUGCAAAUAACAUUACAACGUUAGGAGAGAGAAAUUUUGCUAUGGGUUAGACUUUAUUAGUGCUACAGUUUUCAAAGGCCUAACUAAACAUAGGCAAUAUUAUGCUUUCCAAAUAAAUGGCUUUACUCAGGUGACAUGCUAACUACUGCUAGACAACCUUGGUUUUUGUAUAUGUCAGUGAAGAUGACAGUACUCUUAUGGUGGAGAGAGAAAUUGCUGAAGAUGACAGUACUCUUAUUGGUGGAGAGAGAAAUUGCUAAAGAUGACAGUACUCUUAUUGGUGGAGAUAUAAAGUUAUCGUCUAAUACCAAGCAGAGGCUAUUAUUAAGAUAUUUUGAGCCUGCUGUGCUCAUGGUUGGUUACCAGGCUAUGAAUGUGCUGCUUUGCAGGCUGUUAAUAAUUAUACCCUUCAAAGUAUAUAUUAUUUAUGCUUUUGUUGACUAUAGUCACUACAAAUGGUCUAUGAAUCACUGGCACAAGCAGCUAACCAAGCAUGCGUAAGUUCUGCUAGAUGUUAUCAGACAACUCGGUAGUUGGGACAGCAUAUCAGAAGAGGAUAUAUGUAGUCUGUGUUCUGAUCUGGAUUUUACCAAGCACCUUCAUUUGUUGAUCCUCAAAAGUAGUACUGAUUAAAAUGAUGUUUCAUGUGACUA